AGCGAACGCUGGCGGCAGGCCUAAUACAUGCAAGUCGAACGGCCCUUCGGGGCAGUGGCGGACGGGUGAGUAACACGUGGGAACGUGCCCUUUGGUACGGAACAACUGAGGGAAACUUCAGCUAAUACCGCAUGUGCCCUUCGGGGGAAAGAUUUAUCGCCAUUGGAGCGGCUCGCGUUGGAUUAGCUAGUUGGUGGGGUAAAGGCCCACCAAGGCUACGAUCCAUAGCUGGUCUGAGAGGAUGAUCAGCCACACUGGGACUGAGACACGGCCCAGACUCCUACGGGAGGCAGCAGUAGGGAAUCUUGCGCAAUGGGCGAAAGCCUGACGCAGCCAUGCCGCGUGAAUGAUGAAGGUCUUAGGAUUGUAAAAUUCUUUCACCGGGGAAGAUAAUGACGGUACGCGGAGAAGAAGCCCCGGCUAACUUCGUGCCAGCCGCCGCGGUAA
rnacentral:rRNA from 1 species